CGAGGAUUCCUAUAGUAACGGCGAGUGAACUAGGAAAAGCUCAGCGCUGAAUCACGUAUCGUCAUGUCGACACUGUGAACUGUAGCGUAUAGGUGCAACUAUUGCAGAAUUCAUGGCGUACUCGAAGUUCCCUUGAGCGGGGCUUUUUCCGUAGAAGGUGCAAGGCCUGUACGAGUAGCCGGGUUGUGUAUAUUGGUUGCUCUUUAGAGUCGAGUUGCCUGGGAACGCAGCUCAAAGUCGGUGGUAAACCUCAUCUAAAGCUAAAUAUGACUUCGAGACCGAUAGCGAACAAGUACCGUGAGGGAAAGUUGCAAAGAACUUCGAAGGGAGAGUUCAAGAGGACGUGAAACCGCUUAGAGGGAAGCGGAUAGAGUCAACAGUGGUGCAGAUGCCAUUCAGCCAAUCAGCGCUAUUGACCAGUGUACAGACGUACCGCAUUUGCGGGCGUUUGUAUCUGGAACACGUAGCGUUCUGCUGGAUUGGUGCUUUUGGCAUCGGCGAAGCGCUGAGGUGCUCGGAGUGAUGUGCUAAUGUUGCGCUGUAAGAGGACUACGUUGCUCGUCGACGUAGAACCCUUGCUGUCAGCAGACGGCAUAUUCGCUGUGAGUGUUAAACUAUGGCUACCCGCUACGGUGCACUUAACCGGCUUACGACUGUAUUGGCAAUUGGGCAGUGCCGUUGGCACUGUUCAGCUGUUCGAGUAUGGCCGUAUGGUUGGUGUAGUGC
rnacentral:rRNA from 1 species